rnacentral:rRNA from 1 species
AUAUUACUGAUCAAGACCCUUGUUCCAUCUGUCAGGAUGAAUCAAGGGAUAACUCUGUGAUUUGUGUUGUGCAAGAUCCGAAAGAUGUAAUAGCCAUGGAGAAAAUGAAGGAAUUCAGUGGGAAAUACCAUGUUCUUCAUGGGGCAAUCUCGCCGAUGGAUGGGAUUGGACCGGAAGAUAUUAAUGUUCCCUCUCUUCUAAAUCGACUAAAAGAUGAAGGGGUGGAAGAACUAAUAUUGGCGACAAACCCUAAUAUCGAGGGAGAAGCAACAGCAAUGUACAUCUCAAGGCUGGUGAAGCCUUCUGGUAUAAGAAUUACCAGAAUUGCGCAUGGACUCCCUAUGGGCGGGGAUUUGGAAUAUGCAGAUGAAGUGACUCUUUCCAAGGCCUUGGAAGGCAGAAGAGAAUUAUAAGUCAGCGCUGGUAAAAGGGCAUGGGAAGGACAGGUGAAAGUGUGUUUCGAAGCAGAAAACUUAGAAAGAAAGAUGUAGACAGACAGUUGUUAAAUGAUAUAUAUCAAUCAAAAGAAGAAUGGCGAAGCAUUAAAUCAAUUAUUGAAAAAAGUGUGGAGCCGACCGAACGAGGCAGAUUUGAUCUAGCGGUCGCCGAAGUGAAAUAUUUCUAUCUGUUAAGAGAAGCAAGGCAACGCAAAGUAAGUGCCAGAUAAAUUAACAUAAGUUCUUUUUCUUCCCUUGGCUUCAUAUUUUAUAAGGAGGACAAGCGGAAGGAGAGAUAAUAGUGGAUACAACUUUAGUGAUCAUCAGCAUGGUUGUACUAAUUGCUUUACUAUUAGUCGUAGGAGCGCCGAUAAAACCAAUGCGCUUUGCAGCCCAAGGAGCGGUUAAAUUAGUAAUAGGAGUUUUGUUCUUAUUCUUUUUUAAUGUGUUUGGGGCUUCUAUAGGACUACAUCUUCCUAUUAAUUUAUAUACUGCACUAAUAACAGGAUUUUUAGGAAUACCUGGUCUUGCUUCAUUAGCUGCAAUCCAUAUAUUCGUUUUAGGUUAAGGGCUUCCAAAAAAUGGAGGCUCUUUUUCUAUUGCCGACUUUAAUUUUAUAUGGUAUAUUAUUUCUUGUCGCUUCGAAAGACGGAAAAAAGUUAUUGACUUUUGAAGCUAAAACAUGUUACAUUAUUAUAGUCGCCGUAACGGAGACAAAAAAACGAAGUAAAAAAAAUUGUUGACAAGGAAAUGGAAGUCAUGUUAUGAUAUUUAAGUCGCCUUUCAGACGACAACAACGAAAUUUGAUCUUUGAAAACUGAACAAAACAAUCAUUAUGUCAAGCAAGAAAUGCUAGUCAAGUUUUCGAGCAAGCAAGCUCACAUUUUAUGGAGAGUUUGAUCUUGGCUCAGGACGAACGCUGGCGGCGUGCCUAAUACAUGCAAGUCGAGCGCGGGAAGCAAGCAAUCACCCUUCGGGGUGUGCGCUUGUGGAACGAGCGGCGGACGGGUGAGUAACACGUGGGCAACCUGCCUGUAAGACUGGGAUAACCCCGGGAAACCGGGGCUAAUACCGGAUAACACUUUUCUCUGCAUGGNNNNNAGUUGGAAUAGGCAAAUCCGUCCAACAAUCUCAAGCUGUGACGGGGAGGGAACAUAAGUACCGAAGCUCCGGAUUUCAUACUGCCAAGAAAAGCCUCUAGUGAGGAAAGAGGUGCCCGUACCGCAAACCGACACAGGUAGGCGAGGAGAGAAUCCUAAGGUGAGCGGGAGAACUCUCGUUAAGGAACUCGGCAAAAUGACCCCGUAACUUCGGGAGAAGGGGUGCUUCUUUUGCGAGAAGCCGCAGUGAAAAGGCCCAAGCGACUGUUUAGCAAAAACACAGGUCUCUGCGAAGCCGUAAGGCGAAGUAUAGGGGCUGACACCUGCCCGGUGCUGGAAGGUUAAGGGGACGCGUUAGCCGCAAGGCGAAGCGUUGAACCGAAGCCCCAGUAAACGGCGGCCGUAACUAUAACGGUCCUAAGGUAGCGAAAUUCCUUGUCGGGUAAGUUCCGACCCGCACGAAAGGUGCAACGACUUGGGCACUGUCUCAACGAGAGACCCGGUGAAAUUAUACUAUGCGUGAAGAUGCGCAUUACCCGCGACAGGACGGAAAGACCCCGUGGAGCUUUACUGUAGCCUGAUAUUGCAUGUUGGUACAGCUUGUACAGGAUAGGUGGGAGCCUUAGAAGCCGGAGCGCUAGCUUCGGUGGAGGCGUCGGUGGGAUACCACCCUGGCUGUACGGACAUUCUAACCCAGGACCGUGAUCCGGUCCGGAGACAGUGUCAGGUGGGCAGUUUGACUGGGGCGGUCGCCUCCUAAAGAGUAACGGAGGCGCCCAAAGGUUCCCUCAGAAUGGUUGGAAAUCAUUCGCAGAGUGUAAAGGCAGAAGGGAGCUUGACUGCGAGACCUACAAGUCGAGCAGGGACGAAAGUCGGGCUUAGUGAUCCGGCGGUGCCGUAUGGAAGGGCCGUCGCUCAACGGAUAAAAGCUACCCCGGGGAUAACAGGCUUAUCUCCCCCAAGAGUCCACAUCGACGGGGAGGUUUGGCACCUCGAUGUCGGCUCAUCGCAUCCUGGGGCUGUAGUCGGUCCCAAGGGUUGGGCUGUUCGCCCAUUAAAGCGGUACGCGAGCUGGGUUCAGAACGUCGUGAGACAGUUCGGUCCCUAUCCGUCGUGGGCGUUGGAAGUUUGAGAGGAGCUGUCCUUAGUACGAGAGGACCGGGAUGGACACACCGCUGGUGUACCAGUUGUUCCGCCAGGAGCAUAGCUGGGUAGCUACGUGUGGAAGGGAUAAGUGCUGAAAGCAUCUAAGCAUGAAGCCCCCCUCUAGAUGAGACUUCCCAUCAUUUUAAAUGAGUAAGAUCCCUCAGAGACGAUGAGGUUGAUAGGUCCGAGGUGGAAGCGUGGUGACACGUGCAGCUGACGGAUACUAAUCGAUCGAGGACUUAACUAU